rnacentral:rRNA from 1 species
CGGGGCUUAAAGUCUUGUAAUUGGAAUGAUGGGAAUUUAAACCUCUUCCAGAGUAUCAAUUGGAGGGCAAGUCUGGUGCCAGCAGCCGCGGUAAUUCCAGCUCCAAUAGCGUAUAUUAAAAUUGUUGCAGUUAAAAAGCUCGUAGUUGAAUUUCUGCUGCAUCGCUGUGUCCCUUCGGGGUCUCUGCAUGUGGCUUAUUUCAGACGGAGUCUUCUUUGUCUGGAUGUUUACUUUGAGAAAAUUAGAGUGCUCAAAGCAGGCUUUUGCCUUGAAUAGUUUAGCAUGGAAUAAUAAAGUAGGACUUUGGUUCUAUUUUGUUGGUUUUAGGUACCAAAGUAAUGGUUAAUAGGAACAGUUGGGGGCAUUCGUAUUUAACUGUCAGAGGUGAAAUUCUUAGAUUUGUUAAAGACGAACUACUGCGAAAGCAUUUGCCAAGGAUGUUUUCAUUAAUCAAGAAC